rnacentral:misc_RNA from 1 species
AGGAAAAUUUACUGAUUUGCAGGAAAAUGGUCGGAAGAUCAAUUGUAAUAAAGGAGACUGAGAAAGAUGUUGUUUCUGAACUCUGCAGGAUCAUUGAACAAUGUGCUAAGGAUUGUAUUGAAAAGAACGGUAGUUUUCACCUAGGAGUAUCCGGGGGCUCAUUAGCUAAGUUCCUCUGUCAGGGACUACCAAGUAUACAAACAGAUUGGGCCAGUUGGAAAAUCUUCUUCUGUGAUGAAAGAUUGGUCCCUUCAGACUCUGCUGAUAGUACUUGGGGUCUUUACAGAUCUGAACUUCUGAAAGUGGCGCCUUUAAAAGAAUCUCAGUUCCUAUUGGUUGAUACAGAUCUAGAACCGGAAGCGGCUGCUAAACAUUACCAAGCGCUGCUGCAAGAGCAUUUGGGAACACCACUUCAACUUCAUCUUCUUUUGUUGGGGGCGGGUCCUGAUGGACACACCUGUUCUCUGUUUCCUGAGCAUCCUCUGCUAGAAGAACCCGAGGAUGGUCGCCUUGUCGCUCAUAUUGUAGAUUCUCCUAAACCUCCUCCAGCUAGGGUCACAUUAACCCUACCGGUUGUAAAUAGUGCGGAGUUGUGUGUAUUCGCCGCAACCGGAGCAGGGAAGGCGGAUAUGAUGCAAACAAUACUCGGCGAGGCGGAGCCUUCUCCGUCCCUUCCCGCAAGAAUGGUGAACCCUGUGCAUGGAAAGGUUAUCUGGAUUCUGGACUCAGGUGCUGCAGCAAAUCUACCAAAAAUAUAAAGCAACUAGUUCGUGAUGUUAACUUGAAUAUUCCGGACUCUGCUUUAUGCUGCUGAUCAUAGAAAACGUUGAAUAUUCCGGACUCUGCUUUAAACGGCUGAUCAUUUAAAACUUUGAAUAUUCCGGACUCUACUUUAUGCUGCUGAUGAUAUAAAACUUUUAAUAUUCUGAACUUUGCUUAUCCUGCUGAUCAUACAAAACUUUGAAUAUUCCGGACUCUGCUUUAUGCUGCUGAUAAUAUAAAACUUUGAAUAUUCUGAACUCUGCUGUAUGCUGCUGAUCAUACAAAACUUGAAUAUUCCGGACUCUGCUUUACACUGCUGAUCAUGCAAAACAUUGAAAAAUGUAUCCACAAACAAAAUUAGUUUCCACACAAACAUUUGUGAUAAAGCACUGUGAAGUAUUUUUUAUAUUUAUCAACAGUAAAUCCUUUUUAAUUCACCAACUCUUUUGUAAUUGUAAAAUUUACAGUUUUGCACUUUUUAAUCUAUCAAGUGAAAAUUUUAUUUAAAGAUACAGUUAAGUGUCCCUUAUGAAAUUUCUUAUAUGCAAAAAAUGCCCAAGUAACUUUUGGAUCGAAAUAUACACAAACAUUGAUAUUUAAUUUACACUUGAUUAAAUGAAGCUUUUAAGGAUACCGUUGUAAAUUGGACAGUACAAUCUUUGCAUAGAGGGUCACUUAAGAUUACGCUUUUAAUCCUUUUAAUACCGCAUUGUUCUUAAUAAGGAGCCCAUCUUGUACUGGUAAUAGAUGUACCCUGAGAACCAGAACAAUCUUGUACUGGUAAUAGAUGUACCCUCAGAACCAGAACAAUCCAAUGCUGUCUGUCCAUUUGACCAUCGCGUUUUGGACAGACUUUUUACUAUACUUUUUACUUUCUAUGUAAAUGGAUCUGUAAUCUGUAUGUUUCAAGGUGAUAAAUUUCAAAUUUAAGAAUUAAGUAAAAAUGGUCAUUUCUUUGAUUUAAGUUUACGUAAGUCAAGGUUUGGUCUUGUUUACGUUUAUGUAUGAAACUUGAAAUCAGUAUUUUAAGUUUAAAAAUUACAAUUUUAUUACUUCUAUAUGAUAGUUUGCACUUUUUACACUUUUUUAGAAUAUAAUGAAAUGUUUUAUUUUUAUUUAAAGAAAUAUAUUUAGAUUAUCUUCUAUUUCACCAGAAUUUGUGGUUUAAUGUAAAUACAUAGUUGUGUAUUUUUCAUGUAUAAAUUUAUUUUCAAUGUUUAAAGUUAUUAAACUAAACGGCAAUUGAUACAUAAAAUGAAUGCACGGAGACCAAAUUCAAUGAAUUUUAACUAGGUUGUUGAACUACCUACGCCGGUUCCAAUUCAUGCGGAGUUGAAACGGAGAUUUAAGUUUUAAACCGGCUAGAGGAAGUUCAGCUACCUCUGUCCAAUUCAUUAAGUUUGGUCUCGGAUUAAAGUUAAAGAUUUCCCCAAAUCAUACAACAAAUUUCAAACAAUAAAAUACAUAAAAUAUAA